rnacentral:rRNA from 1 species
GAAUAUUGGACAAUGGGGGGAACCCUGAUCCAGCCAUGCCGCGUGCGUGAAGAAGGCCUUUUGGUUGUAAAGCACUUUAAGCGAGGCGGAGGAGCCCUUGGUUAAUACCCAACACGCUUGGACGCUACUCGCAGAAUAAGCACCGGCUCACUACGUUCCACCCGCCGCGGUAAUACAGAGGGUGCAAGCGUUAAGCGGAUUUACUGGGCGUAAAGCGCGCGUAGGUGGCCAAUUAAGUCAAAUGUGAAAUCCCCGAGCUUAACUUGGGAAUUGCAUUCGAUACUGGUUGGCUAGAGUAUGGGAGAGGAUGGUAGAAUUCCAGGUGUAGCGGUGAAAUGCGUAGAGAUCUGGAGGAAUACCGAUGGCGAAGGCAGCCAUCUGGCCUAAUACUGACACUGAGGUGCGAAAGCAUGGGGAGCAAACA